UUAAUUGAAGAGUUUGAUCAUGGCUCAGAUUGAACGCUGGCGGCAGGCCUAACACAUGCAAGUCGAGCGGUAACAUUUCUAGCUUGCUAGAAGAUGACGAGCGGCGGACGGGUGAGUAAUGCUUGGGAACAUGCCUUGAGGUGGGGGACAACAGUUGGAAACGACUGCUAAUACCGCAUAAUGUCUACGGACCAAAGGGGGCUUCGGCUCUCGCCUUUAGAUUGGCCCAAGUGGGAUUAGCUAGUUGGUGAGGUAAUGGCUCACCAAGGCGACGAUCCCUAGCUGGUUUGAGAGGAUGAUCAGCCACACUGGGACUGAGACACGGCCCAGACUCCUACGGGAGGCAGCAGUGGGGAAUAUUGCACAAUGGGCGCAAGCCUGAUGCAGCCAUGCCGC
rnacentral:rRNA from 1 species